UUGGUGAUGUAAGUUACUAGGGUUGGGGGUCUGAUCUGGAGGAACUGGGAGGUGGUCAGUGAGUGGAGGGAAUUUUUGUCCAACGUGCACCUUGACACAGCUUCACUGACCACAGCGGUGUCUCCCUGCUGCCACGCAGCACACCUCUGACCACAGACCUCUCUCCAGAGCCACGUGUUUGCUCCUCACCUGACAGGCUGUGUGAGAGCCCAUCUGUGCUUCCCUGGGAUGUCUGACCGCAUGCAUCCUCCACUGUGCAUGGGAGCCCUGCUGGGAUUGUGUGUCACUUAAGAAGCUGCAGUAAUCACCCAUGGCCAGGAUUUCCUCUGGUUG
rnacentral:lncRNA from 1 species